AAACAGGAUUAGAUACCCUGGUAGUCCACGCCGUAAACGAUGUCUACUUGGAGGUUGUGGCCUUGAGCCGUGGCUUUCGGAGCUAACGCGUUAAGUAGACCGCCUGGGGAGUACGGUCGCAAGAUUAAAACUCAAAUGAAUUGACGGGGGCCCGCACAAGCGGUGGAGCAUGUGGUUUAAUUCGAUGCAACGCGAAGAACCUUACCUACUCUUGACAUCCAGAGAACUUUCCAGAGAUGGAUUGGUGCCUUCGGGAACUCUGAGACAGGUGCUGCAUGGCUGUCGUCAGCUCGUGUUGUGAAAUGUUGGGUUAAGUCCCGCAACGAGCGCAACCCUUAUCCUUGUUUGCCAGCGAGUAAUGUCGGGAACUCCAGGGAGACUGCCGGUGAUAAACCGGAGGAAGGUGGGGACGACGUCAAGUCAUCAUGGCCCUUACGAGUAGGGCUACACACGUGCUACAAUGGCGCAUACAGAGGGCGGCCAACUUGCGAAAGUGAGCGAAUCCCAAAAAGUGCGUCGUAGUCCGGAUUGGAGUCUGCAACUCGACUCCAUGAAGUCGGAAUCGCUAGUAAUCGUGGAUCAGAAUGCCACGGUGAAUACGUUCCCGGGCCUUGUACACACCGCCCGUCACACCAUGGGAGUGGGCUGCAAAAGAAGUAGGUAGUUUAACCUUCGGGGGGGACGCUUACCACUUUGUGGUUCAUGACUGGGGUGAAGUCGUAACAAGGUAGCGCUAGGGGAACCUGGCGCUGGAUCACCUCCUUAAACGAUGAU
rnacentral:rRNA from 1 species